rfam:Neocallimastix californiae strain G1 LY90scaffold_124, whole genome shotgun sequence.
GCUCUUAUGGUGCAAUUGGCUAGCGCAUUUGGCUGUUAACCGAGAGGUUGGUGGUUCAAGCCCACCUAGGAGCG